rnacentral:rRNA from 1 species
CAGCAGCCGCGGGAAUACAGAGGUCCCGAGCGUUGUUCGGAUUCACUGGGCGUAAAGGGUGUGUAGGAGGUUGGAUAAGUCAGGUGUGAAAUCCCGCAGCUCAACUGCGGAACUGCAUUCGAUACUGUUCAACUAGAGGAUCGGAGAGGGAAGCGGAAUUCUUGGUGUAGCGGUGAAAUGCGUAGAUAUCAAGAGGAACACCGGUGGCGAAGGCGGCUUCCUGGAAGAUACCUGACUCUGAAGCACGAAAGCCAGGGGAGCGAAUGGGAUUAGAGACCCCCGUAGUCCCUGUCUCUUAUAC